rnacentral:rRNA from 1 species
GACGAACGCUGGCGGCGUGCCUAAUACAUGCAAGUCGAACGCAUUUUCUUUCACCGUAGCUUGCUACACCGAAAGAAAAUGAGUGGCGAACGGGUGAGUAACACGUGGGUAACCUGCCCAUCAGCGGGGGAUAACACUUGGAAACAGGUGCUAAUACCGCAUAAUUCCAUUUACCGCAUGGUAGAUGGGUGAAAGGCGCUUUUGCGUCACUGAUGGAUGGACCCGCGGUGCAUUAGCUAGUGGGUGGGGUAACGGCCUACCAAGGCUGCGAUGCAUAGCCGACCUGAGAGGGUGAUCGGCCACACUGGGACUGAGACACGGCCCAGACUCCUACGGGAGGCAGCAGUAGGGAAUCUUCGGCAAUGGACGCAAGUCUGACCGAGCAACGCCGCGUGAGUGAAGAAGGUUUUCGGAUCGUAAAACUCUGUUGUUAGAGAAGAACAAGGAUGAGAGUGGAAAGUUCAUCCCUUGACGGUAUCUAACCAGAAAGCCACGGCUAACUACGUG